GGGCCCGCACAAGCGGUGGAGCAUGUGGUUUAAUUCGAUGAUACGCGAGGAACCUUACCAGGGCUUAAAUGCAGAACGACAGAGGUGGAAACACCUCCUUCUUCGGACGGUCUGCAAGGUGCUGCAUGGUUGUCGUCAGCUCGUGCUGUGAAGUGUCGGGUUAAGUCCCAUAACGAGCGCAACCCCUAUUUCUAGUUGCCAGCGGUUCGGCCGGGGACUCUAGAGAAACUGCCAGCGUAAGCUGUGAGGAAGGUGGGGAUGACGUCAAAUCAUCACGGCCCUUACGUCCUGGGCCACACACGUGCUACAAUGGUAGGUACAGAGGGAAGCCACCCCGCGAGGGGAG
rnacentral:rRNA from 1 species